rnacentral:tRNA from 1 species
GGAGAAGUGGCCGAGUGGCUGAAGGCGCUCCCCUGCUAAGGGAGUAUACGUGUUAAAGCGUAUCGAGGGUUCGAAUCCCUCCUUCUCCG